rnacentral:rRNA from 1 species
GACGAACGCUGGCGGCGUGCUUAACACAUGCAAGUCGAACGGAAAGGCCCUGCUUUUGUGGGGUGCUCGAGUGGCGAACGGGUGAGUAACACGUGAGUAACCUGCCCUUGACUUUGGGAUAACUUCAGGAAACUGGGGCUAAUACCGGAUAGGAGCUCCUGCUGCAUGGGGGGGGUUGGAAAGUUUCGGCGGUUGGGGAUGGACUGGCGGCUUAUCAGCUUGUUGGUGGGGUAGUGGCUUACCAAGGCUUUGACGGGUAGCCGGCCUGAGAGGGUGACCGGCCACAUUGGGACUGAGAUACGGCCCAGACUCCUACGGGAGGCAGCAGUGGGGAGUAUUGCACAAUGGGCGGAAGCCUGAUGCAGCAACGCCGCGUGCGGGAUGACGGCCUUCGGGUUGUAAACCGCUUUCGCCUGUGACGAAGCGUGAGUGACGGUAAUGGGUAAAGAAGCACCGGCUAACUACGUG